UACGUAGGGCGCAAGCGUUAUCCGGAAUUAUUGGGCGUAAAGAGCUUGUAGCGGUUUGUCGCGUCUGCCGUGAAAGUCCGGGGCUCAACUCCGGAUCUGCGGUGGGUACGGGCAGACUAGAGUGAUGUAGGGGAGACUGGAAUUCCUGGUGUAGCGGUGAAAUGCGCAGAUAUCAGGAGGAACACCGAUGGCGAAGGCAGGUCUCUGGGCAUUAACUGACGCUGAGGAGCGAAAGCAUGGGGAGCGAACAGG
rnacentral:rRNA from 1 species